UUGUUGUUUUUUAUGUCUGUUUUAUGAUUUUCUGCUGAAAAAUCAUCUGGGGGUGAUUAGUGGAAGCCAGGUGUGUUAUCCCUCCUUCCCACAGCCAGUGACCUAAAACUCAGAUGAAGAGUCAUGUUCCUUCUGCUCUCCCUCCAGGAAAGAAGAGCCCAGACCUUGGGGAAUAUGAUCCCCUCACUCAGGCUGACAGUGAUGAAAGUGAAGAUGACCUUGUACUCAACAUCCAGAAGAAUGGGGGGGUCAAGAAUGGGAAGAGCCCCCCCGAAGAGAUACAGGACCCUGAUUCUGAUGUGGAGGUUGGGAUGACAAAGCAGCACACGUCAGAGAGUGCGCCUGAGGGUUAUCCUGCAGAGGCGGCUGGGAGUCUGGAGCAGAAGGCUGCUCCCUCCCUCAUGCCCUACCUGCGCACUGCAAUCUUUUUGCUCACUGUGGUGAUCUCGAUGAUUCUUGUGUUGGUGUGCGCAUUUCUAAUUCCCUGUCCCCCUAGAGACUUGCAUAACACCUGGAAGCGCAACCUAGGUCAGGGAACAGGUGGUGUGUUAUCCCCACUGGAACUGUGUGAUGUAAAUGGUGAUGGGCUUCCUGACAUCCUCAUUGUCUUCACUGCCUUGAGGAAUGCCAGUGUCAUGGGUGUUUCUAGGCCCUCUGUAACUGUGGUGGCACUUUCUGGUAUGAAUGGCAGCACCUUGUGGUCCAUCCAGCUUCCAGAAGAGACUCGGAGUGUGCAGUGCAGUGAGCUGUCACUGGGGGCAGCUGCAGGGCCUGUCUGUCUUGUUACAGGAAUAUCAAAAUUCCUCAGCCUUCUCAGUGCCUCCACAGGCAAGACCAUCUGGACCCUGAACUCCAUCCACCUUUCAAGCGGGAUUCUGGCUGCACCGGCUGCAAGUCUUCCAGAUGUAGAUGGAGAUGGAAUUAGGGAUAUUGUUGUUCUGGCCCUCAAAGAAACACAGCCUGAUGUUUUUUUCAUCUUGGUAUCAGGAAAGACUGGAACUGCUUUGGGUGGGCCUGUGAAGUACAGCACCAAUGGAGAAGGGAAAGUGAUUGGCCCCCAAGUCCACAUCACCGGCCGGGGAGCCAUCUACAUCCURUUUGGUUUUGGUAAUGUUCAAGCAGUUGCCCUGAGGGAUAUUUUUACCCAAGCCAGAAACCGGGACAACUUUCCUGCAAUGCUGCAGCAGGAGGAGCCAGAAUGGGAAAAGCGCAGAUCUGUCAACCUGUCAGAGCUCAUUGACAUUUACAGUGGGGGUGUUGACUUCCUGCAGACAAUGAAGACACCUGACACAAACUGCAGCAACCUGCUCAUCACAACCAAAGAGAGCUUGAUCCUGCUGAGGGGACAGGACCUGGAGCCCCUCUGGACCCUGGAGCUGCACAAUAUCAGCAGCCAGCCUGUACCAGGUUACUUUGGUGCUGACCAAACUCUGGACUUCAUGCUGCAAGCACAGACUGGAGAUGGGAAUAAAAAGGUGGUGGUGAUAGAUGGCAAAUCUGGCCUCCCUAUUUGGAACCAGGAAUUUCCAUGGCUGAGGCAACAACUUGAUGCACUCUCAGUCAUGACUUUGGACAAGAAAUCUGUUUUUCUCUUCUGGGCUGAUGAAACACACCCUGUGUUUCGAAGUUUGCAACUUGGUCCCAGACCUGAGCGCCCAGGGCUGCACCACCUUUAUCUCCUCCAUCCUGUUUUUCCCACAGUCCUUUUGGACCUCACCAAUGCAACAGACAAAGUCAUUGCUUCAGCAGUUGGAAUUAAUGAUCUCCAAAAGGAUGCAUUUCACAUCACUGUGACAACAACCRCAACCUCUGAAAAACAGCCAGGGUUUCUCUCGGUCAGCAAGCUGGGCCUGAAGUGGGCCAUGAUGAGCCAAGGUCAAAUGGUGUGGUUAAAGGACAGCACCACUCCAAAAAUCAGCCGUGGAGAAGUGAGGCGAUUUCUUGCCMGGAUGAAAUUUGCUGAAUUUCCUCAGAAGCUCUAGGCUGGUGAUUUCUUAGGUGUUGGUUGGACCUGUGGCCUGUAUGGGAAAUGCAGGAAGCUGCUCUGUGUAUCUUCAGGAAAACCGCUACAUAGAGGGAAGGGGGGCUAAAAGCACUUCUCCUUUCUUAAGCUAGCUGGGGAAUGCUGCUGGAGACAGGUUUGUCCUAGGCAGACCUAUUCUCUGCCAGAGAAAUCUUGCUGAGCAACUCCCCCUCCAUAUGCCAUUCUUGCAUGCUUCCUUCCAGGUAACACAGAAAUGUGAAUUUAGAAUUYAUAUACAUAUAUAUAUAAAAUCAGGCUUUAUAUAUAUAUGCAUUAAUUUAUACAAUAUAUGUAUAUUUUUUGUAUGUUUAAUUUAUUAAUGAGAUUUAGGACACAUCUUUUUAUGUCCAGUGUUCCCAAGCAGCAUAACAAGCUCUGUGCCUAGAGAAGCCUCUGGCUCCUGCAGGGUUAGUCUUACCUAUAACUUCUCCUGUGCUCUCAGCUCUCUUGUCCAUGCUGUCACCAGAAUCCCAAACAAAUUAGUUCUCUUGCUGAAUUACCCAAUCUAGAGAAAAGUGGUCUCCACAGCWUUUGCCAGCACCUUGCACUUAAUGUCUUUCUUUCCCAAUUCCAAGUUCAGGACACCAAGUUCAGGCAUAUGUGGGUGAUGUAGAAGUGAAAGGUUCACAUCUUAUUUAUCUUAUUUCUCCUCUCCUUAAGCUUUGUGUGAACCUAAAUUAUCACUGUAACAUGUCACUGGAGUCUAAUGGGCAGGAUCCCCCUUUGCAAAUGUAUCACAGUUCUCUUGGGAUAGAAGUCCAGCAGAUCCUGAUUGACAUGGUAAAGGUCACUCAGUCUAGUCACAGAAAAGCUGAUUCUUACAUUGCUGCUUCAGGGUUUAGAGGCUCAGRCAGAGACAGAACUAGAAAACUUUUCUGUGCAUUUUGACUCUGGGGCUCAAUAUUGCCCUUCUCUUGCCAGCCCAGCCCUGUGUGCAGCUCCAGGAGGARCAACCUAUGCCUGGGAUACAUUUGCACACAGUGUUUUGAACUGUGCCCCAGAGUGUGUCAUCAUUCCWCUGUGUUGCAUUUGAGGAGCAUCUGUAUGAAUUUUCUUGUAAUAGAAAAGACCGUAUAAGAAGAAACCACUUUGGUGCCACAGCAGUUCCCCAUAGUUCAGGGCAACAAUAUAGGAAUUGCUUUCCUAGUAUGCCAUUCUAAGUCUGGCCUUUGGCRUUAAGCAGAGCCAGGCUGAGGUGAGGAUUGCCAAGGACUCUUCUGUCUGGCAUGUGCUCUUCCAUCUUCUCCACAUUUCCCCAUGAGUGACAGCAGACUUUGACCCUCCUUCCAGAUGGACACAUUAGCCAUGGGUUUGCUCUCUUGGGCCCUUGACACCUUCCUUUACUGUUAUCACCCUCUCCAUCAUCCCACAUUUCUAUUUAAAGCUUCCAGGAUAGCCCUUCAGGAUUAGCUGCAAGCCCCAAGGCUGGUCCUUGGACCCUGAUCUCCUAAUGUCAGAGCCUGUGAACAGUUUGUAUAUGUCCAAUGGUAUUUUCGUGUAAAUAGGUUUGUAUAUAUUAGCACAACUGUAGCAAUGGCUCUAGGCCUGGCAUUUUCCUCCAGACAGGGUUUAGUGUUUUUAAUAUGUAGUCAGUUAAUAGAGCUGCAUAGUAAGACUGAAAGUGUGAGGAUCAGUAACGUGUGAGGGAUUAAACAGGAGUGUCUUUCCUACUGUCCAGCCACCGCCUUGCUGGGAAAGGUGAAGUGGCUGUUACCUAAGUARUUACUCUUCUGAGAUUCUUCCUGAGAGAACUGAUAUUCAAGAGCAGUGAUGUUAGCUCCUCCAUAAUGUGAAUUCACCCUGCCACAGUCCCCACCACCCCGCUCCCACUGUGAAUAAAGAGUCUGUCUGUAUAUUGUUGGGAAAAUGUAUUUGAACUGAGUGAARCAAAAUAAAUACUGUGUACAGCAUCAUGUGUCAUG